GAGUUUGAUCCUGGCUCAGAACGAACGCUGGCGGCAGGCCUAACACAUGCAAGUCGAGCGCGCCCUUCGGGGUGGGCGGCGGACGGGUGAGUAACGCGUGGGAACGUACCCUUUGGUUCGGAAUAGCCUCGGGAAACUGGGAGUAAUACCGGAUACGGUCGAGAGACGAAAGAUUUAUCGCCGAAGGAUCGGCCCGCGUUGGAUUAGGUAGUUGGUGGGGUAAUGGCCUACCAAGCCGACGAUCCAUAGCUGGUUUGAGAGGAUGAUCAGCCACACUGGGACUGAGACACGGCCCAGACUCCUACGGGAGGCAGCAGUGGGGAAUCUUAGACAAUGGGCGCAAGCCUGAUCUAGCCAUGCCGCGUGAUCGAUGAAGGCCUUAGGGUUGUAAAGAUCUUUCAGUGGGGAAGAUAAUGACUGUACCCACAGAAGAAGCCCCGGCUAACUCCGUGCCAGCAGCCGCGGUAAUACGGAGGGGGCUAGCGUUGUUCGGAAUUACUGGGCGUAAAGCGCACGUAGGCGGACCGGAAAGUCAGAGGUGAAAUCCCAGAGCUCAACUUUGGAACUGCCUUUGAAACUCCUGGUCUUGAGGUCGAGAGAGGUGAGUGGAAUUCCGAGUGUAGAGGUGAAAUUCGUAGAUAUUCGGAGGAACACCAGAGGCGAAGGCGGCUCACUGGCUCGAUACUGACGCUG
rnacentral:rRNA from 1 species